GCGGCGCCUCCACGUCGGGGACUUCCUGUGGGUGGCCCGGGAGAAGGACCCGCCCACAGGCCGCGCCCCCCGGGAGCUGGUCCUGGACGUGGUGGUGGAGCGGAAAUCGGCGGCGGAUUUGGGGAACAGCCUCCGGGACGGGCGCUACCGCGAGCAGAAGUUCCGUCUGCGCCGUUCCGGGCUCC